rnacentral:rRNA from 1 species
GUACGUACUGGCAUUGUUGGUUUCUCCCUUCUGACGAACCAUGAUGUCAUUUAUUUGGUGUUGUGGGGAAUCAGGACUGUUACUUUGAAAAAAUUAGAGUGUUUAAAGCAGGCUCACGCUUGAAUACAUUAGCAUGGAAUAAUGAAAUAGGACGUUUGAUUCUAUUUUGUUGGUUUCUAGGAUCGACGUAAUGAUUAAUAGGGAUAGUUGGGGGCAUUAGUAUUCAAUUGUCAGAGGUGAAAUUCUUGGAUUUAUUGAAGACUAACUACUGCGAAAGCAUUUGCCAAGGAUGUUUUCAUUAAUCAAGAACGAAAGUUAAGGGAUCGAAGACGAUCAGAUACCGUCGUAGUCUUAACCAUAAACUAUGCCGACUAGGGAUCGGAUGAUGUUAAUUUUUUAAUGACUCAUUCGGCGCCUUACG